AAUUCUCAACCAUGUCUUGAUUGGCAUGGCUUGGAGUUGGGAGUUGCUGGCUGCGAAAUGCGGUCAGCUCUCCUGAAAUGCAUUAGCGAAAGGGGGGGGUGGGCGAGUCUUUUGGACGUGCACGGCCUUUCGACGUGAUAAUGAUCGUCGUGGCUGGAGCGUUUGAAUCGUCAUCAUCCUUUGCUUCCAGCCGUUAAGUUGCUCAGCUACUAGUUGGGUGGCCUAUUUGGAAAC
rnacentral:misc_RNA from 1 species